rnacentral:rRNA from 1 species
CACACGACCGUACCGCAAACCGACACUGGUGCGCGAGAUGAGUAUUCUAAGGCGCUUGAGAGAACUCAGGAGAAGGAACUCGGCAAAUUGACACCGUAACUUCGGAAGAAGGUGUGCCUUUAGUAGGUGAACCUGUACAAGGGGAGCCCAAUGAGGUUGCAAAAAAUCGGUGGCUGCGACUGUUUAAUAAAAACACAGCACUCUGCAAACACGAAAGUGGACGUAUAGGGUGUGACGCCUGCCCGGUGCUGGAAGAUUAAAUGAUGGGGUGCAAGCUCUUGAUUGAAGUCCCAGUAAACGGCGGCCGUAACUAUAACGGUCCUAAGGUAGCGAAAUUCCUUGUCGGGUAAGUUCCGACCUGCACGAAUGGCGUAGCGAUGGCCACCCUGUCUCCUCCUGAGACUCAGCGAAGUUGAAAUGUUUGUGAUGAUGCAAUCUCCCCGCGGAAAGACGGAAAGACCCCAUGAACCUUUACUGUAGCUUUGUAUUGGACUUUGAACAGAUCUGUGUAGGAUAGGUGGGAGGCUUUGAAGUGUGGUCGCUAGAUCGCAUGGAGCCAACGUUGAAAUACCACCCUGGUGUGUUUGAGGUUCUAACCUAGGCCCGUAAUCCGGGUCGGGGACAGUGCAUGGUAGGCAGUUUGACUGGGGCGGUCUCCUCCCAAAGCGUAACGGAGGAGUUCGAAGGUACGCUAGGUACGGUCGGACAUCGUGCUAAUAGUGCAAUGGCAUAAGCGUGCUUAACUGCGAGACUGACAAGUCGAGCAGAUGCGAAAGCAGGACAUAGUGAUCCGGUGGUUCUGUAUGGAAGGGCCAUCGCUCAACGGAUAAAAGGUACUCUGGGGAUAACAGGCUGAUACCGCCCAAGAGUUCAUAUCGACGGCGGUGUUUGGCACCUCGAUGUCGGCUCAUCUCAUCCUGGGGCUGUAGCCGGUCCCAAGGGUAUGGCUGUUCGCCAUUUAAAGAGGUACGUGAGCUGGGUUUAAAACGUCGUGAAACAGUUUGGUCCCUAUCUUCCGUGGGCGCUGCAGAUUUGAGGAAGCCUGCUCCUAGUACAAGAGGACCGGAGUGGACACACCUCUGGUGUAUCGGUUGUCACGCCAGUGGCAUUGCCGAGUAGCUAUGUGUGGAAGAGAUAACCGCUGAAAGCAUCUAAGCGGGAAACUCGUUUCAAGAUGAGAUCUGCCGGGGCCUUGAGCCCCCUAAAGAGUCGUUCAAGACCAGGACGUUGAUAGGUCGGGUGUGGAAGCGCAGUAAUGCGUUAAGCUAACCGAUACUAAUUGCUCGUGCGGCUUGACC